AUSSAGGCUGCRGCUAAGCUCGUAGUUGGAUUUCGGGUGGGGCCUGCCGGUCCGCCGUUUCGGUGUGCACUGGCAGGGCCCACCUUGUUGCCGGGGACGGGCUCCUGGGCUUCACUGUCCGGGACUCGGAGUCGGCGCUGUUACUUUGAGUAAAUUAGAGUGUUCAAAGCAGGCCUACGCUCUGAAUACAUUAGCAUGGAAUAACACGAUAGGACUCUGGCCUAUCCUGUUGGUCUGUAGGACCGGAGUAAUGAUUAAGAGGGACAGUCGGGGGCAUUCGUAUUUCAUUGUCAGAGGUGAAAUUCUUGGAUUUAUGAAAGACGAACUACUGCGAAAGCAUUUGCCAAGGAUGUUUUCAUUAAUCAAGAACGAAAGUUGGGGGCUCGAAGA
rnacentral:rRNA from 1 species